UCCGUAGGUGAACCUGCGGAAGGAUCAUUAAUGAAUUUUAGGACGUUCUUUUUAGAAGUCCGACCCUUUCAUUUUCUUACACUGUGUACACACUUCUUUUUUACACACACUUUUAACACAUUAGUAUAAGAAUGUAAUAGUCUCUUAAUUGAGCAUAAGCAAAAUUAAAACUUUCAGCAACGGAUCUCUUGGCUCUCGCAUCGAUGAAGAACGCAGCGAAUUGCGAUAAGUAAUGUGAAUUGCAGAAUUCAGUGAAUCAUCGAAUCUUUGAACGCACCUUGCACUCUUUGGUAUUCCGAGGAGUAUGUCUGUCUGAGUGUCAUGAAACUCUCAACCCCCUUAUUUUGUAAUGAAAUGAGCGUGGGCUUGGAUUAUGGUUGUCUGUCGGCGUAAUAGCCGGCUCAACUGAAAUACACGAGCAACCCUAUUGAAAUAGACGGUUUGACUUGGCGUAAUAAUUAUUUCGCUAAGGACGUCUUCUUCAAAUAUAAGAGGUGCUUCUAAUUCGCUAUUAAAGCAACUUAAGCUUUAGACCUCAAAUCAGUCAGGACUACCCGCUGAACUUAAGCAUAUCAAUAAGCGGAGGAA
rnacentral:rRNA from 1 species